CAGUGUUCUGGAUGAUGAGGGGAGCAGCCUGCGUCAGCAGAAGCUUGACAGGCAGCGAGCUUUGCUAGAACAGAAGCAGAAGAAAAAGCGCCAGGAGCCAUUAAUGGUUCAGUCCAAUGUGGACAGUCGCACGAGAACGCGCAGGAUGAAACAUUCGGAGGAACAAGCACCAUUGGUCGAUUCAUAUCUUAACAGCAACAGCAGCACCAUAUAUCAUGUGCAGGAGGCUGAACAGGAAGAUGUAAAGGUGGUGGUGGAUGCCCAAGCUCCAAAAGCGACUAAAAAAGCCAAGGCAGCAGCUGCGAGCUGUCAGACUGGCAG